CUCAGGAUUAACGCUGGCGGCGUGCCUUAUCAAUGCGAGUCGAACGGUACGAACACUUCGGUGUCACGACCGUGGCGUCCGGGUGAGUAACACGUGGGUGAUCUGCCUUGCAGUGGGGGAUAACCCCGGGAAACCGGGGACAAUACCGCAUACGAUCGCCGGAAUGCGUUCCGGCGAUGAAAGAUUUAUCGCUGCAAGAGGAGCCCGCGGUCGAUUAGCUUGUUGGCGGGGUAAAGGCCCACCAAGGCUGAGAUCGAUAGCUGGUCUGAGAGGAUGAGCAGCCACACUGGGACUGAAACAUGGUCCUGAGCCCUACGGGGUUUAGCAUGAAGGAAUCUUGCGCAAUGGGGGAAACCCUGACGCAGCAACGCCGCGUGGACGAUGAAGGCUCUUGGGUCGUAAAGUCCUUUUCCGAGUGAUGAUGAUGACAGUAGCCUCGGGAAUAAGUCACGGCCAACUACGUGCCAGCAGCCGCGGCAAUACGUAAGUGGCGAGCGUUAUCCGGAAUUACUGGGCGUAAAGCGCACGUA
rnacentral:rRNA from 1 species